UACAGAGGUCUCAAGCGUUGUUCGGAUUCAUUGGGCGUAAAGGGUGCGUAGGUGGCGUGGUAAGUCGGGUGUGAAAUUUCGGAGCUUAACUCCGAAACUGCAUUCGAUACUGCCGUGCUUGAGGACUGGAGAGGAGACUUGAAUUUACGGUGUAGCAGUGAAAUGCGUAGAGAUCGUAAGGAAGACCAGUGGCGAAGGCGGGUCUCUGGACAGUUCCUGACACUGAGGCACGAAGGCCAGGGGAGCAAACGGG
rnacentral:rRNA from 1 species